rnacentral:lncRNA from 1 species
AUGAUACAGUGCGGAAGCCUUGGUAGCAUGCUGAAGUGGAUGGAAGAAAGCAUGGAAAAUCACAGGACCACUUUAUCAAGCACUUCGAUUUGGAACCAAAUCCAGCAAUGUUUAAGUCAUCCUGAUGAACACAGUCAACCCAAAGCAUAUCUACAAUUUGACAUAAAUCAGAUUACAAAUGGAAUGAAUAAAGACCACAAAAUGUGUUUUGGGUUCACAAUGGACUCCAGACUGGAAAAAGCCCAUCAGUCCUCAUUUUCUUCACUUAGAAAGAGACCUUUCCACAAAAGGAUGAUGUUGGCGUAAUGGAGAAAAUAAACCGAGGCAACAAGGAACUUACAAUCAUCAAAUUUGUAGGGUUUUUGGCAAAAAAUAGACCAUAUUCAGGUCCUGAUAUCACUCACAGAGGAAACCUCACCAGCUCACCGAAGACCUACUUCCUAUAAAGGACCCCCAUUCCGAAUAUUUCUGGGCGAGUACUGGAAGCAUUUUGCACACUCUGAAGAACAGGUCAUCAUUUAUUCAUUCGACAAGCAGCAACUCUAUGCUUGGCACAGU